CUCAUGAACUUUAUUUGCUGUUGUCAAUGUAAACAUCCGAUUACUGUUGCGGCUCUGUUUUGUGAGUUCUGCUAUGUUACUACUCAAUGCCAUUGUUUGGUGUAGAUGGAGCUGUUUCGGGGGUCGUAGAUGAAGCCAAUGUAUCGGUUUGAUGAGCCCGUGAUGAUAAUCCCUGAAUGCAUGUCAGUUUCGCAUAGCUUUACAUACGCUGUGAAGCACAAAUACAAUUAUGUCACCUGCAUAUGCAGACAUAUCUCAUCCAAAAUAUGAGAUUGAAUAGCCUAUGUCAGAAUAUCUACGAUGGUUAAAUGUCACAAUUUUUUUUACAUUAUUUUAUUCUAAUGGUACCAUGUUGGCAUGCAAACAUUUUUAUUACAAUCAUCUUUCUACAAAAUAUUAAAUACAUAUGGUUCAUAAUAUACUUCUAUAUUUAUCCUGUUUUAUAUACUAUAGAUACUGCCUGCCAGGGUACUUGGCAAUGUAACUGGCUUGUUGCUAUGAAUACCAGAUGCUAUGUGAAGUAAGAUGCAGGGGCUUUUCUAAAGUCAUUUCCAGGUGAUAAAAACAAGUAAACACACGGUUUAACACUGUCAAGUCUGUUUUCACGACUUCCUGGGCUGGUCAAAGGGAGUCAGGGGUUAAGAGGUCAAAGAUCCUGGGUCAGAGGUCAAAGAACAGCGUCCUGGAGGUUGCUCACUGCCAUCCUCCUGAGGGCCUUUCCGGACACUUCCAGCGGGUUCUCCAGUGAUUCCGGCCUGACGUUCUUCCUGGAAGCCUUCUCCAGCAUGCGACUGGCCUCCUUCAGGGCUUUCUCUGUCCUCCUAGUCUUCUCUGUCUUCUCUACCUUCAGGGCUUUUCCCUGCUGGAACCCUUGGGCCAGCUUGGCCUCUUCCCCAGGUAAUCCUUCUGUUGACAUGUUAGAUUUGCUCUGAUCCUCCUCAAGGCGCUCUGCCCUCCUCAGACGCAGCCUCUUUUUGCCGGUCUCCUGCUGGAACGGGCCAGCAGCUUGGCAUACGCUCUCCUCGCCACGUGGUGCUAGUGCCCUGCUGGGCCUGAGCUUUGGCACUGAUGGGGAAAGAGGCAGAGGGAGAGACUGGUUUGCUUCUAGGAGGAGGAUGGAAGUCUUUAAUGGUAGAGCCAAUAUCUUCUGAGAGUCUUUCUCCUGUGUGUCUCUGGAUUGGGUUGGCAUGAGCAAGCUCCGCUCUCAGAACCUUCUGCUGUCGCUGGACUCUGGGUGCUGUUUCAUUCAGGGGCAGGGGACGUGGGGCUGGGGUGGAGACACACUCUGCCGCACCUUUAACCAGUUCUGGUCUCUCUCCUCUCACCCCAUAGGCCUUCACCUUCCCGGGGCAGGGUUGGUCCCCCACUGUAGUGUCCAGUUUGCGGGAAGCAGCCUUGGCCUCCAGCCCAAUCCCCUUCAUCUUCUGUCUAUGGGCCUUCUGUACCUCCCUGGGCAGCUCCAGAGGGGCCAGCUUCAGAGGCCGCCGCGGAGGCAGGUUCUCCCCCUCCCUCGGUCGGGAUGAGCCAGGCAGGGAAGACCU
rnacentral:lncRNA from 1 species